rnacentral:rRNA from 2 species
AUGGCUCAGGACGAACGCUGGCGGCGUGCCUAAUACAUGCAAGUCGAGCGAAUCGAUGGGAGCUUGCUCCCUGAGAUUAGCGGCGGACGGGUGAGUAACACGUGGGCAACCUGCCUAUAAGACUGGGAUAACUUCGGGAAACCGGAGCUAAUACCGGAUACGUUCUUUUCUCGCAUGAGAGAAGAUGGAAAGACGGUUUACGCUGUCACUUAUAGAUGGGCCCGCGGCGCAUUAGCUAGUUGGUGAGGUAAUGGCUCACCAAGGCGACGAUGCGUAGCCGACCUGAGAGGGUGAUCGGCCACACUGGGACUGAGACACGGCCCAGACUCCUACGGGAGGCAGCAGUAGGGAAUCUUCCGCAAUGGACGAAAGUCUGACGGAGCAACGCCGCGUGAACGAAGAAGGCCUUCGGGUCGUAAAGUUCUGUUGUUAGGGAAGAACAAGUACCAGAGUAACUGCUGGUACCUGACGUACCUACCAG